GGGGGACAACAUUCCGAAAGGAAUGCUAAUACCGCAUACGCCCUACGGGGGAAAGCAGGGGAUCUUCGGACCUUGCGCUAAUAGAUGAGCCUAAGUCAGAUUAGCUAGUUGGUGGGGUAAAGGCCUACCAAGGCGACGAUCUGUAGCGGGUCUGAGAGGAUGAUCCGCCACACUGGGACUGAGACACGGCCCAGACUCCUACGGGAGGCAGCAGUGGGGAAUAUUGGACAAUGGGCGAAAGCCUGAUCCAGCCAUGCCGCGUGUGUGAAGAAGGCCUUUUGGUUGUAAAGCACUUUAAGCGAGGAGGAGGCUACUUGGAUUAAUACUCUAGGAUAGUGGACGUUACUCGCAGAAUAAGCACCGGCUAACUCUGUGCCAGCAGCCGCGGUAAUACAGAGGGUGCGAGCGUUAAUCGGAUUUACUGGGCGUAAAGCGUGCGUAGGCGGCUUUUUAAGUCGGAUGUGAAAUCCCUGAGCUUAACUUAGGAAUUGCAUUCGAUACUGGGAAGCUAGAGUAUGGGAGAGGAUGGUAGAAUUCCAGGUGUAGCGGUGAAAUGCGUAGAGAUCUGGAGGAAUACCGAUGGCGAAGGCAGCCAUCUGGCCUAAUACUGACGCUGAGGUACGAAAGCAUGGGGAGCAAACAGGAUUAGAUACCCUGGUAGUCCAUGCCG
rnacentral:rRNA from 1 species